UACGGGGGGGGCAAGCGUUGUUCGGAAUUACUGGGCGUAAAGGGCUCGUAGGUGGCCAACUAAGUCAGACGUGAAAUCCCUCGGCUUAACCGGGGAACUGCGUCUGAUACUGGAUGGCUUGAGGUUGGGAGAGGGAUGCGGAAUUCCAGGUGUAGCGGUGAAAUGCGUAGAUAUCUGGAGGAACACCGGUGGCGAAGGCGGCAUCCUGGACCAAUACUGACGCUGAGGAGCGAAAGCCAGGGGAGCAAACGGG
rnacentral:rRNA from 1 species